rnacentral:rRNA from 1 species
CCGGACCUGACUGCUAUCGGAUUGGUACUAAGCCAUGCGAGUCGUUGUAGCAAUACAAGGCGAACUGCUCAGUAACACGUAGUUAACCUAACCUAUGGAUGGGGAUAACCUCGGGAAACUGAGAAUAAUACCCAAUAGACCACAGUGCCUGGAAUGGCCUGUGGUUGAAAUGAUUUAUCGCUGUAGGAUGGGACUGCGGCCUAUCAGCUUGUUGGUGAGGUAAUGGCCCACCAAGGCUAUAACAGGUACGGGCUCUGAGAGGAGGGGCCCGGAGAUGGGUACUGAGACACGGACCCAGGCCCUAUGGGGCGCAGCAGGCGAGAAACCUUUGCAAUGUGCGAAAGCACGACAAGGUUAAUCCGAGUGUCUCCUGCUAAAGGAGUCUUUUGUCAGUUGUAGAAUCACUGGUGAAUAAGGGGUGGGCAAGUUCUGGUGUCAGCCGCCGCGGUAAAACCAGCACCUCGAGUGGUCAGGAGGUUUAUUGGGCCUAAAGCAUCCGUAGCCGGUUGCAUAAGUUUUCGGUUAAAUCUAUGCGCUCAACGUAUAGGCCGCCGAAAAUACUGUGCAGCUAGGGAGUGGGAGAGGUACACGGUACUCAAUAGGAAGGGGUAAAAUCCUUUGAUCUAUUGAUGACCACCUGUGGCGAAGGCGGUGUACCAGAACACGUUCGACGGUGAGGGAUGAAAGCUGGGGGAGCAAACCGGAUUAGAUACCCGGGUAGUCCCAGCUGUAAACGAUGCAGACUCGGUGAUGCAUUGGCUUGUGGCCAAUGCAGUGCCGCAGGGGAGCCGUUAAGUCUGCCGCCUGGGAAGUACGUACGCAAGUAUGAAACUUAA